UACGUAGGUGGCGAGCGUUAUCCGGAUUUACUGGGUGUAAAGGGUGUGUAGGCGGGACUGCAAGUCAGAUGUGAAAAUCACGGGCUUAACCUGUGACCUGCAUUUGAAACUGUGGUUCUUGAGGGUCGGAGAGGUAACUGGAAUUCCUGGUGUAGCGGUGAAAUGCGUAGAUAUCAGGAGGAACACCGGUGGCGAAGGCGGGUUACUGGACGAUUACUGACGCUGAGACACGAAAGCGUGGGGAGCAAACAGG
rnacentral:rRNA from 1 species